rnacentral:rRNA from 1 species
GACGAACGCUGGCGGCGUGCUUAACACAUGCAAGUCGAACGGAAAGGCCCUGCUUUUGUGGGGUGCUCGAGUGGCGAACGGGUGGGUAACACGUGAGUAACCUGCCCUUGACUUUGGGAUAACUUCAUGAAACUGGGGCUAAUACCGGAUAGGAGCUCCUGCUGCAUGGUGGGGGUUGGAAAGUUUCGGCGGUUGGGGAUGGACUCGCGGCUUAUCAGCUUGUUGGUGGGGUAGUGGCUUACCAAGGCUUUGACGGGUAGCCGGCCUGAGAGGGUGACCGGCCACAUUGGGACUGAGAUACGGCCCAGACUACUACGGGAGGCAGCAGUGGGGAAUAUUGCACAAUGGGCGGAAGCCUGAUGCAGCAACGCCGCGUGCGGGAUGACGGCCUUCGGGUUGUAAACCGCUUUCGCCUGUGACGAAGCGUGAGUGACGGUAAUGGGUAAAGAAGCACCGGCUAACUACGUG